rnacentral:rRNA from 1 species
AGAGUUUGAUCCUGGCUCAGGAUGAACGCUGGCGGCGUGCCUAAUACAUGCAAGUCGAACGGGGAGUACUUACUUCGGUUUUUACUCCUAGUGGCGAACGGGUGAGUAACGCGUUGGUGACCUGCCCCGAAGCGGGGGAUAACAGUUCGAAAGGACUGCUAAUACCCCAUGUGGUCGUACAGGUUAGAGGCUAUACGACUAAAGGAGCAAUCCACUUCGGGAGGGGCCUGCGUCCCAUCAGCUAGUUGGUAAGGUAACGGCCUACCAAGGCGAUGACGGGUAGGGGACCUGAGAGGGUGGUCCCCCACACUGGCACUGAAACACGGGCCAGACACCUACGGGUGGCAGCAGUAGGGAAUAUUGCACAAUGGGCGAAAGCCUGAUGCAGCAACGCCGCGUGCGCGAAGAAGGCCUUCGGGUUGUAAAGCGCUUUUCUGGAGGAAGAGGAAGGACGGUACUCCAGGAAUAAGGAUCGGCUAACUACGUGCCAGCAGCCGCGGUAACACGUAGGAUCCGAGCGUUAUCCGAAUUUACUGGGCGUAAAGCGCGUGUAGGCGGCCGGGUAAGUUGGACGUGAAAGCUCCUGGCUCAACUAGGAGAGGUCGUUCAAAACUGCCUGGCUAGAGGGCGACAGAGGGAGGUGGAAUUCCCGGUGUAGUAGUGAAAUGCGUAGAUAUCGGGAGGAACACCAGUGGCGAAGGCGGCCUCCUGGGUCGCACCUGACGCUCAGACGCGAAAGCUAGGGGAGCAAACGGGAUUAGAUACCCCGGUAGUCCUAGCUGUAAACGAUGUGGACUUGGCGUUGGUGGGGUCAAAUCCAUCAGUGCCGGGGCUAACGCGAUAAGUCCACCGCCU